GGGAUUUAUUUUUGUCAGUGGAGUCAAAUGGUUGAAGCAGAAUUUGCCCGUCUUACAUCUAUUGACCUGAAAGGGUUCCUUUUUGCUGUGCUUGACCAUUAUGGAGAGGUUCGUGGAGCUGUACAAAAUCAAGAGCGGCAUAGGAGGGCUAACGAGGCUCAUAAGAUGCUUCGGUGAUGAUAGCCCUACACAAAGGAAGAGGACAGAGGACCUCAUUUUCUAAAGGAAGAUCCCUCACACACUUUCAAGACUGUGAAGCCGACAGGUAUUGAAGACACGUUUUCUAAGAGGAUGAAAGUUGGCAUUGUGAUGGUGAAAGAAGAAGACAUCAUCGAUGUGUUGGUUGUCCUUGAGGCGGCAGUAAUCCUGUCUAAUCUGAGGGAUGUCUCAAGUGCCAUUUCCAUGCUGAUGGGCCUUCUUUUUGCCUUCAACAUAGACUAUCCAAAGGAACUUAAGGGCAUCUUUGAAGUCAUUCAGAACAUCCUAAUGAACAUUGGUGGAAGGCAGUGCAUGGUCUAAGAAACAGACUCUUGCAGAAAGCCAUGCAGAACUGUAAUUGUAUGCUCACAGCAUACAAUUGCCUUAGUGUUAAGGACAGUUUUUAUUUUACUGUUUGUUUUUUUAUUCUUGCAAGUUCUCAUUCUCACUUUUGUAUGUCACUAAAUGACUACACUUUACAUUCCAG
ensembl:lncRNA